UUCUCAGCGUCAGGGCAGAGCCAAGAGGAGAAGAAGAGGUGGAACAUCAAGUGGUUGGAGAAAUUACCAGAGGGAAACAGAGGAGAAAAGGAGGCUAAUUUCUAUUCUGAAAAGGCCCCUAGGCCGGCCUCUCGAUACCACCCGCUUUCGUCAACUAUUAUGCCCAGACCCCUCCUGUGAGGUGUGUAAUAGCACAACUGCUGAGAUCAAUCGGCUCCUGGAGGACCUGGAAGAUGAUACCGCCUCUGUGUCCUCUCUGGCUUCCACAGCUUCUGGGACUGAGUCAUCAUUCACUCUGUCCUCUGCCUUCUCAGAAGUCCCUCCAGGAGACCUAACACCAUCCCCUCCACCUGACCCUUCCCCACCGCCCCCCUCCGUCCUCUCACCUAACCCAAUGACACCCUUAGCUGACUUUCUUUCACCCUCACCACCGGGUCACUCUAUGCCACCAGAGCCUUUUCCUCCCUUGGAGUCCAAAUUCCCAGCAGACCAUUCCCCACCCCAACCCCUUGCCCUUCCCCCUCUGCCACCACAUGACACCCAG